UUAAGCAUAUCAAUAAGCGGAGGAAAAGAAACUAACAAGGAUUCCCCUAGUAACUGCGAGUGAAGCGGGAAAAGCUCAAAUUUAAAAUCCGUCCCCCGACGGAGUUGUAAUCUAGAGAAGUGUUUUCGGCCGUUGACUUGGACAAGUCCCCUGGAACAGGGCGUCAUAGAGGGUGAUAAUCCCGUACUUACCAAGAUCCCAACGUCUAUGUGAUACACUCUCGAAGAGUCGAGUUGUUUGGGAAUGCAGCUCAAAAUGGGUGGUAAAUUCCAUCUAAAGCUAAAUAUUGGCGAGAGACCGAUAGCGAACAAGUACCGUGAGGGAAAGAUGAAAAGCACUUUGGAAAGAGAGUUAAACAGUACGUGAAAUUGCUAAAAGGGAAGCGCUUGAAGUCAGUCGCGUUUAAUGAGACUCAGCCUCACGGUGUAUUUCUCUUGAACGGGCCAACAUCGAUUUUGGGCGCGGGAAAAGGGUUUGGGGAAGGUGGCAACCUCGGUUGUGUUAUAGCCCCUUACCGUACACCGCGCCUGGGAUCGAGGACCGCGGCUUUGCCUAGGAUGUUGGCGUAAUGGCUUUAAGCGACCCGUCUUGAAACACGGACCAAGGAGUCUAACAUGUCUGCGAGUGUUUGGGUGUCAAACCCAUGCGCGUAAUGAAAGUAAAUGUAGGUGGGAGGCUUCGGCCGCACCAUCGACCGAUCCGGAUCUCUUGUGAUGGAUUUGAGUAAGAGCAUAUAUGUUGGGACCCGAAAGAUGGUGAACUAUGCCUGAAUAGGGCGAAGCCAGAGGAAACUCUGGUGGAGGCUCGUAGCGAUUCUGACGUGCAAAUCGAUCGUCAAAUUUGGGUAUAGGGGCGAAAGACUAAUCGAACCAUCUAGUAGCUGGUUCCUGCCGAAU
rnacentral:rRNA from 1 species